rnacentral:rRNA from 1 species
CCUACGGGAGGCUGCAGUAGGGAAUUUUGCGCAAUGGGGGAAACCCUGACGCAGCAACGCCGCGUGAUCGAUGAAGCCCUUCGGGGUGUAAAGAUCUGUCAGUGGGGACGAAACCUGACGGUACCCACAGUGGCAGCAGCGGCUAACUCCGUGCCAGCAGCCGCGGUAAUACGGGGGGUGCAAGCGUUGUCCGGAAUCAUUGGGCGUAAAGGGUUCGUAGGUGGCACGUUAAGGCUGGUGUUAAAGGCGGAAGCUCAACUUCCGUAGGGCAGUGGAUACUGGCGAGCUUGAAUGCGGUAGAGGUACAGGGAAUUCGGGGUGUAGCGGUGAAAUGCUUAGAUAUCACGAAGAACUCCGAUUGCGAAGGCAGCAUACUAACCUGCCACUGACAUUGAUGCACGAAAGUGUGGGUAUCAAACAGGAUUAGAUACCCCUGUAGUC